rnacentral:rRNA from 1 species
UACGGAGGGUGCGAGCGUUGUCCGGAAUCACUGGGCGUAAAGGGCGCGUAGGCGGCAUGCCAAGCGUGUGGUGAAAGCCCGGGGGCUCAACCCCGGGUCGGCCGUGCGGGACUGGCGUGCUCGAGCACUGUAGGGGCGGGUGGAAUUCCGGGUGGUAGCGGUGGAAUGCGUAGAUAUCGGAAGGAACACCAGUGGCGAAAGCGGCUUCCUGGUCCAGCACCGACGUCAGGCACGAAAGCGUGGGGAGCAAACAGG